UACGUAGGGUGCAAGCGUUGUCCGGAAUUAUUGGGCGUAAAGAGCUCGUAGGCGGCUUGUCGCGUCGGCUGUGAAAACCUGGGGCUCAACCCCGGGCCUGCAGCCGAUACGGGCAAGCUAGAGUUCGGUAGGGGAGACUGGAAUUCCUGGUGUAGCGGUGAAAUGCGCAGAUAUCAGGAGGAACACCGGUGGCGAAGGCGGGACUCUGGGCCGAUACUGACGCUGAGGAGCGAAAGCGUGGGGAGCAAACAGG
rnacentral:rRNA from 1 species